CAGAGCAUCAUGCCCUUCGGGGUAGAUCUCCCACCCUAUGUAUUACAUACCUUUUGUUGCUUUGGCAGGCCGCUUCGGCCACCGGCUUCGGCUGGUGCGUGCCUGCCAGAGGACCCUAAAUUCUGAAUUAAGUGUCGUCUGAGUACUAUAUAAUAGUUA
rnacentral:misc_RNA from 1 species